GCUAUAGUAAUGUGAGGGCUUAAAGAGUGAGAUUUACUUAGCUUUCAGCCCUUGCGGCACUGGUAUGGUAAAUCUCUAUUCUUACGCUGACUGAAUGACCCCCAAACACCCUUCAUUUUCAGUUAAGCUGUCACUCUUAAGUAUACGAAUGCACGUCUAAUAUACUUCCAAUUUAUAUUUAACCCCAUGUUAACUUACAUAUUAUACUAAAAAAGUUUGCUCCUCAGCUAUU